UCUCCAUUCGUAAACCCCAUCUCACAUUUAUAUCUUCCCCUUUCACCAGUUGUAAUUUCAGCUUCCACUGUCACCAAUGUGGGGUGCGUUCAGAAAGGUUUAGGAGUGGAGCGUACGCACGUUGUGGUGGUCGGAAGUUGAAAUAAGCGGUGUUGCGGCGGGCUUAUUGGGUGAUAAAUGCUGCAAAGGAUGAUUAGGAUUGGGAAGGGCCAUUGCGUCACUUGCCAUCAUGACAACAACUGUGGACAUGGUUGGUCUAUCAGCUGCAUCUUCUUGAACACACAAUAAACCAAUGUGUAUGCAUUUCAUAACUUCACUGGCUUUGUGUGUCUUUUCCAGCAUUGGAUCCAACAUUUCCAAGCUUUUUCCUUCACACCAAAGUCUCCAACUCUGUAUGCAAAGAGAAAAUUGAAAUGAUAUUAUUUAGAGACAGACACAAAAAAAAUGAUGUUAUACAAAUUAUUGUAUGUGUAUCACACUAAAAUGUUUAGAAAUUCCAAAGAAUAUCGCUUUACCAGCA